UCGAGCGAGAACCGGGGCUUCGGCCCCGGGGACAGCGGCGAACGGGUGAGUAACACGUGGGUAAUCUGCCCUCGGCGCCGGGAUAGCCCGGGGAAACCCGGAUUAAUACCGGAUGUCCCCCCAGCCCCUCGGGGCGGUGGGAAAAGGUAGCUUCGGCCUCCGGCCGAGGAGGAGCCCGCGGCCGAUUAGCUUGUUGGCGGGGUAACGGCCCACCAAGGCGACGAUCGGUAGCUGGUGUGAGAGCAUGAUCAGCCACACUGGGACUGAGACACGGCCCAGACUCCUACGGGAGGCAGCAGUGGGGAAUCUUGCGCAAUGGGCGAAAGCCUGACGCAGCGACGCCGCGUGCGGGAAGAAGGCCUUCGGGUUGUAAACCGCUUUCAGGAGGGACGAAGCCACUCGGGUUAAUAGCCCAGAGGGUGACGGUACCUCCAGAAGAAGCCCCGGCUAACUACGUGCCAGCAGCCGCGGUAAUACGUAGGGGGCAAGCGUUG
rnacentral:rRNA from 1 species